GGGUCCCUUUCUAUAGAUGGAGAGCGUAACUGAUUGACAGCGACAUCUGUAACCACCUGAUAGUGGGCCGUUCAAGGCCACGCGGAGUUUGUUAUGGAGAGUAGUGGCAUCAGGGGCCGUUCAGGACCACAUGGAGUUUGUUACGGAGAGUGGAGUGGUAUCCGUUGUCAUGACUUGCCAGAGAGUGGUGGAGCCAUGCAGAAUCUGUUAUAGAGUGUGGAGUAGGGUAGUGGCCAUUGUCGUGACUUGCCAGAGAGUUCGAAUCUAUCGGUUGAAGCUCAGCUGGGAUGUC
rnacentral:lncRNA from 1 species